rnacentral:rRNA from 1 species
UUUAUGGAGAGUUUGAUCCUGGCUCAGGAUGAACGCUGGCGGCGUGCCUAAUACAUGCAAGUCGAGCGAACGGACGAGAAGCUUGCUUCUCUGAUGUUAGCGGCGGACGGGUGAGUAACACGUGGAUAACCUACCUAUAAGACUGGGAUAACUUCGGGAAACCGGAGCUAAUACCGGAUGAUAUUUUGAACCGCAUGGUUCAAAAGUGAAAGACGGUCUUGCUGUCACUUAUAGAUGGAUCCGCGCUGCAUUAGCUAGUUGGUAAGGUAACGGCUUACCAAGGCAACGAUGCAUAGCCGACCUGAGAGGGUGAUCGGCCACACUGGAACUGAGACACGGUCCAGACUCCUACGGGAGGCAGCAGUAGGGAAUCUUCCGCAAUGGGCGAAAGCCUGACGGAGCAACGCCGCGUGAGUGAUGAAGGUCUUCGGAUCGUAAAACUCUGUUAUUAGGGAAGAACAUAUGUGUAAGUAACUGUGCACAUCUUGACGGUACCUAAUCAGAAAGCCACGGCUAACUACGUGCCAGCAGCCGCGGUAAUACGUAGGUGGCAAGCGUUAUCCGGAAUUAUUGGGCGUAAAGCGCGCGUAGGCGGUUUUUUAAGUCUGAUGUGAAAGCCCACGGCUCAACCGUGGAGGGUCAUUGGAAACUGGAAAACUUGAGUGCAGAAGAGGAAAGUGGAAUUCCAUGUGUAGCGGUGAAAUGCGCAGAGAUAUGGAGGAACACCAGUGGCGAAGGCGACUUUCUGGUCUGUAACUGACGCUGAUGUGCGAAAGCGUGGGGAUCAAACAGGAUUAGAUACCCUGGUAGUCCACGCCGUAAACGAUGAGUGCUAAGUGUUAGGGGUUUCCGCCCCUUAGUGCUGCAGCUAACGCAUUAAGCACUCCGCCUGGGGAGUACGACCGCAAGGUUGAAACUCAAAGGAAUUGACGGGGACCCGCACAAGCGGUGGAGCAUGUGGUUUAAUUCGAAGCAACGCGAAGAACCUUACCAAAUCUUGACAUCCUUUGACAACUCUAGAGAUAGAGCCUUCCCCUUCGGGGGACAAAGUGACAGGUGGUGCAUGGUUGUCGUCAGCUCGUGUCGUGAGAUGUUGGGUUAAGUCCCGCAACGAGCGCAACCCUUAAGCUUAGUUGCCAUCAUUAAGUUGGGCACUCUAAGUUGACUGCCGGUGACAAACCGGAGGAAGGUGGGGAUGACGUCAAAUCAUCAUGCCCCUUAUGAUUUGGGCUACACACGUGCUACAAUGGACAAUACAAAGGGCAGCGAAACCGCGAGGUCAAGCAAAUCCCAUAAAGUUGUUCUCAGUUCGGAUUGUAGUCUGCAACUCGACUACAUGAAGCUGGAAUCGCUAGUAAUCGUAGAUCAGCAUGCUACGGUGAAUACGUUCCCGGGUCUUGUACACACCGCCCGUCACACCACGAGAGUUUGUAACACCCGAAGCCGGUGGAGUAACCUUUUAGGAGCUAGCCGUCGAAGGUGGGACAAAUGAUUGGGGUGAAGUCGUAACAAGGUAGCCGUAUCGGAAGGUGCGGCUGGAUCACCUCCUUUCU